GCUUCCGUAGCUCAGUUGGUUAGAGCUUCGUACUAAUAUUUCCGCCUCACAGCGAAAUCUUGGUAAUGCGAAGGUCGCAGGUUCAAGCCCUGCCGGGAGCA
rnacentral:tRNA from 1 species